rnacentral:misc_RNA from 1 species
AAGUCGUAACAAGGUUUCCGUAGGUGAACCUGGAAAGAUCAUUAACACGUAUCCAAACGUUAAAACCCCCCCCGUGAACCUUCAUCCUGCUCUUGUAACCCGCGUAGUUCGCAAUCUCUGUGUCGGAAGUGUCAUUGAUUGUGCAAGGAUAGCGCUUCUACGAUUCCUGUAGACCGUACACUCGGGCAGGAGCUUUGCCAAAGGGUCCCCAUGCCCCCUAUAACCCCACAGUUUAAUGUGAAGCUCAAUGUAAUACAUUGGGUAAAAAAACCGAACAACUGUUAACAAUGGAUAUCUUGGUUCUC